rnacentral:misc_RNA from 1 species
AGAAAAGUCAUUGUAAAUAGAAAAGCAAAGCAAUACAAAUCUGUCUUGGCAGUUCUUUCAAAGCAGCAAAAGAAAAAUUCAGUUCAAUCAUCCAAGAAUUAGACAAAAGAGAGCAUAUAGAAGCUUCAAUAACAGAACAAUGCAAGUUGUAUAUUCCAUUAACAAACAAGCAUCCACCAUGAAAUAAUCCAAUUGCAAGCCAAAAUCCACAAGUAUUU